rnacentral:rRNA from 1 species
UGGGGAAUAUUGCACAAUGGAGGGAACUCUGAUGCAGCGACGCCGCGUGAACGAAGAAGGCUUUCGAGUCGUAAAGUUCUUUUAUAUGGGAAGAUAAUGACGGUACCAUAAGAAAAAGCCCCGGCUAACUACGUGCCAGCAGCCGCGGUAAUACGUAGGGGGCUAGCGUUGUCCGGAAUCACUGGGCGUAAAGGGGUCGCAGGCGGAAAUGCAAGUCAGGUGUAAAAGGCAGUAGCUUAACUACUGUAAGCAUUUGAAACUGCAUAUCUUGAGAAGAGUAGAGGUAAGUGGAAUUUUUAGUGUAGCGGUGAAAUGCGUAGAUAUUAAAAAGAAUACCGGUGGCGAAGGCGGCUUACUGGGCUCAUUCUGACGCUGAGGAACGAAAGCGUGGGUAGCAAACAGG